GACGAACGCUGGCGGCGUGCUUAACACAUGCAAGUCGAACGGAGAGGCGCCUUCCUUUUUGGUGGGUGUGGAGGAGUGGCGAACGGGGGAGCAAGACGAGAGUAACCUUCUCCCUCCUUCUGGACAACGGCAUGAAAGUGUGGCUAACACGGGAUAUAUUGGGCCUGUUGCAUGAUGGGUCUGGGAAGGUUUUUGUGUCGGUGGGGGAUGGGUUCGCGGCGCAUCAGCUUGUUGGUGGGGUGAUGGCGUACCAAGGCGGCGAUGAGUAGCCGGCCUGAGAGGGUGGUGGGCGGCAACGGAGGGACUGAGACACGGAGAAGACUCCGAGAGGAGGCAGCAGGGAAGAAUACUGCACGAGGGGCAGAAGGCUGGUGCAGCGACGCGGCGUGAAGGAUGGACGCCGUCGCGUAGUGAACCUCUUUCAGGAAUGAAGAAGGGCUGCCUCGUUUGUGCGUGGGUUGACGGUAGCUGGAUAGGAAGCGCCGGCUAACUACGUG
rnacentral:rRNA from 1 species